UAUUGCUUUGUGGUUUUACUGGCUCUGGAGAGUCCCAGGAUGGCACUAAAGCUGGAUGGAGUGAAGUCAGAGCGGGGGAUUUUAUUCUGACAGACAUGCAGCUCUGCAUCUCAAACACGGGACAUUAGAAACGCAAAGAUGUAGACCUGCAACCAUUGAUCAAAUAGUUCCUCAACAUAAAACAGUCAUCGGUUUUAUCGACCAUGAAUCAUUUAACUGGUUUGUGGGAAAAACUCUUUCUUCCUGGUGUCUUUUAAACCGGAAUAUCUUCUAGUCUUUUUACUCCACAACAGUAAGCUGAAAAUUGUUUGAUUGUACACAAAUUAAACAUUUGAGGCUGUAAUUGAAAACAAAUGCUGCUGAGUCUUUGUGCUAAUCAGACUCAGGUGCUCCUCGGCUGUUCUUGAUUCAUCCUGGAAAUGUGAGUUUCCAUGGCUGAAAAGUAAAGUAUCCUGUUAAAGCAAACCCAGACUCAAAAAUUUGUGUGUUAAAAAACAGCAGUUGAGUUAUGACCUACUCAGACUGUGUUCAGAGUCAUUAUCAGCACACCUAAGAGUUACAGUCACCUGUUCAGGAGAUCAAGAAAGUGGUACUUCAUCAAGAGGAGGCGUGAGGAAGAAAGUUGAUCGGAAAAGGUGAAGGGCAGGUAAGCAGGGAGCAAGAUGGGAAUCAAAGAAAUCCUUGAAUAAAGAUGGGGUCUUUUAUUUGUUUAUGCUGCCUCAGGUACCAGGCCUUUUAUAUGAAGCAGGCUUUUAUCAGAGGCAGACCUUUAUUCCAAAUCCUUUCAACAUUAUCAUGUUUGUUUGAGGAUUUAUGGAAAUAAAAGAAAAGGCGAAGAGGAGGGGCUAUGAGAAAAAUAAAUAAAAACAAACAGUUAAUCAGUCCAACAAAGUCAGGGUGGACCUACUAACCCUAUACCUGAUAAAUUUCUCAUCACAAGCAUAUUAACACUUUUAGUUCAUUUCAGCAAACCCCAAAACUGUAAAUGGAUGUGGACUUAUUUUCACUUAAUUUUUUUAUUUAGUGGAAAAAAUAAGGAGGUACACUGACCAUCUAAAUACAGUAAGUGGUACUGAAUUUAUUCUGAAUAAAACAUGGACAUAGCCUUCAGUUUCCAAUGAGGUGUGAUGUUUGUCAUAUUAAAAAUGCUGAUCUACUCCGAUGAAGAGGUGGAGUUGAGGUCCAUCUACCUGUGUGACAGCUAAAAGGCACCUUCCUGUCAACCAAAUCAGCUGUGCCCCAAUAAUGCAAGACUCUUACCCUGGAUCUAAUGUAAAGAGGAGGGUUUCAGUUUGAUAUGAGGCUCUAUGAGGAUUGACCAUAUCCUGUAUAAAACAUGGAGUUAAGUCUCAGUGACAUUUGAUGAAAGGACCACAACCCUUGUGUUUCUGAAACAGAGUUUUGAACCUUAUCAACAAUGGACAGUGAAAAUGCUGACUAAACCUGACCCAAACUAGUGAGGUAUAAAAAAAUUCACGCCCUGUGAAGUGUGUGUAAAUAUAGCAGAUGUCAUUUCACACCAAAAUGAUUUAUUGACCAAGGCAGUAAACAUGUUUAUUCCUGCUGUAAAGAUGCUCUUUUUUAGAAUGGCGGUGUGCAGGGCUUGCAGUGUUUUUGGAGCCAGCAGAAGUGGAAGUGUCAGCAUUUUUUUACACUUUUGUCCUCGAGUCAUUUUUCAACACAGACCCUCAAACAGGCCUGAAAACUGCCGUACACACAGGAACAUUUUUUUCUUGUUGUAGUUGGGAUUUUUUCAAAUAUAAAUACUUUUUGCUUUCAGGGUGUGAAAGAAAAUUCAAAGCAUGUCUCUGGAUACAUUUCCUGAACUAGCUUUAGUCCAGUUAGUUACUAGGGGCACCAAUGGCCAAGUGUUCUUGGGGCGCCUCAUACACAAGAGUUGCUGGUUUGACUCCACAGACUGUAUAUAGAAUGGACGCUGUCUGCCUCGUCACUGGGUGAAGCCACUCUGAGAACAGCACCCUCUGGUGACAGGCUACAGUACAGAUCAUAAAUCCCACCUCUGCCAGCAAAGCUGUGGACAAACUUUAGAAGCUUGUGAUGUUGACAUGUAGUUACAGUAAGACUGGUUUGUGCUCCAGUCCUCUUUUUUUUUUUUACAGCUCCAUUUUUAAAAGUUUUUAGGGGGUUCAUGUUUUCUAUGAUUGACACUUGAUACAGCCUAUGGGCGUACGAAGAUUGCGUAGCUCACCCGCGGGAUACACUGUUUGAGCUGAGUGUCAUCACAGUAGAAGUGAUGGGGUGUGUACAACACUACUGCACAAUGUUGGUUUCAGGAAAUGGAGAGAAGACGCUGAAUUACUGAGCGCUUUUCGGCUUCAAAUCUGUAUACUGGUGGAACCAAGUUGUCCAUAGUAUAUACAGUCUAUGUUUGACUCCUUGUCAUGACCUUUGUAGUGUUUUUCCCCUGCUCUCUGCUCCUGUCUCUCUUCUGCUGUACUGUCUAAUAAAGGCAAAAACUGCUCCAAAACAUCAGUAAAAACAGCAAGCUCCUUACUGCGGUGUUAAAUGUCCAACAGCUCUGAGGACAAAUUAUCUCAAGGAGCAGAUCUUUGACUUCAUCGAUCUGUGGCAGGUGGUUGUUGACUCUUGUUUUGUUUCUGCUGGUGCUCCUGACAGAACAGAUAGCUUUAUUUCAUCUUGUUCAACGCUGGCAUGGCUGCAGUGAAAAGUCUGACUCUUUGUGGUGGAAUCAGUGGCAGUAAAGUUGUAGCUGUAAAAUGUAACAGCUCUGCUCUGCUCUCAGACAAAAGCCGUUCACGCCUGCUACUAACGGAGUCUCUGGGGGUUUGACUUUUCUCCCUCUGGUGAUCACGCACAGGAUCAUAAUAACUGCGCCCUCCUCUGUUCUGUGUGCGUGUGCAUGAGAGGACAUUUAUAUCCUGCACACACCCAUGCUGGCAGCUCGGGAUGUUUUGGUCCUCAGUGAGGGGCUGAUCCUGGAUGACUUCAGAUUCCGGGCAUAGCAGCCGUUAUAUGAGUCCAAUAAAAGUCAACUAAACUCACAGAGAAGAGGGAGGACAGCAUGCCAGCCAAUGUUAGUUACACACACACACACACACACACACACACACACACACACACACAAAACCAUACACACUGUCCUCAGGAGAUUGUGUGCUGGGAGAUGGAUGUGUUGGCAGUUACAGGAAGUGGAGAAUAAAUCUGUUGAAGAAGAAGAAACCUUUGUAAGUUUGAUACUGAAGAAAACAUUAUUUCUCUACCUCCAUCUCUUCUCUCCAUAUUUUCCCAGAAACUCGCCUUCUUCUACUCAUCUUCGUUUACAUGUGCUUUUACUCAAAGCAUUUCCUCUGCAGUGAUUUAUCAAUCGCUGCCUGUCCCUCUGUCCACUCUCUUUCUCUCUCUCUCCAUCUAUCUAUCUUUCUCAGUGUGCAGACAUUUCCUGUGAGAGGAUUUGCAGAAAAUCAAAAACAUGCUGCACAUUACUCAUCAGUCUGUCCAACCAAUCAUGAGCCUGCCUCAUCAAUCACACUUAUCAGCCCUCUGACUCCAUCAGUCUGUUUCUGAGCGGUUUUGGUGCUCUCUCUGCUCACAUGAAGAAAUUUGGAAGAAGAGUUUGAUUGUGCUAAAAGCUUUCAAGCAAAUAUCAAAAAUGUUGUCGUGUUUCCAGAGAUUAAGAACCGCCUUCAUAGUUUCAUCAAAACUUUCAGACUCCUGUCUUUGCUUUUUCAUCUCUGGAUGUGGUUUCUGUAUCUUCCUCCUGUCUGAUAUGAAUUGAAAAGCUCUGAGUGCCAAUACCACACAUGCCCAAGUCUUGAAUUUUCUUCACUCCCUGUUAGAUUGAGAACCGAUUUAAAGAUGUCAAACAUUAAGUUUAGAUCUGGCUCCAAGCUGCAAAGCAAAACUGUUGACUCCUUAUAAGCCAGUCCACUGCCUGGAGCCUCAGGCCUCAGCCUCUCUAACCUAAAGGGUACACUGGACAUCAGGACCCCUGGAACAACAUACCUGAUGAUUUAAAGGAGCAGUUUGUGUUUUUUAGAGUGGGAUUUGCAGAGGUGUUUUUUUUAAUUGGCCCCUGUCUGGAGAAGCAUGAGUUCCUGCAUGAAGUCAAACUUUGCACCACUAGAUCCAUAUUAAGUCCAUCUCUGCUCCCUUGCAGCAAUAGAGCAGAUAGGUUUCCACUUUGGUGAAUUGUUUGUCUGCUUUGUAUUAUUAUUCCGUCUUGGUUGCAGCAAUCCAGCACC